rnacentral:pre_miRNA from 14 species
ACUUCAGACUUCCCACGUCACCUGCUCCUCAGAUCAGAAGGUGAUUGUGGCUUUGGGUGGAUAGCAAUCAGCCACAGCACUGCCUGGUCAGAAAGAGCAAGUGUCCUAGCCUUUUACCUCAU